rnacentral:hammerhead_ribozyme from 1 species
AUCCAGCUGACGAGUCUCAAAUAGGAAUAAAAGCACGUCCUGGAU